rnacentral:misc_RNA from 1 species
GAUGAAGAACGUAGCGAAAUGCGAUAAGUAAUGUGAAUUGCAGAAUUCAGUGAAUCAUCGAAUCUUUGAACGCACCUUACACCCUUUGGACUGCUCCAAAGGGUAUGCUCGUUUGAGUGUCAUUGUACUCUCACACUCUCUGAUCCUUUGGAUUUGGGGAGCAGUGGACUUGGGUGCUUGCUGCUUCCUUGUGGCUCACCUGAAAUGCAUCAGUGCAUCUCUCGAUUGGACAUAGUACGGCGUGAUAAGUGUCUUCGCCGGCACCUCAUAUGAGGGUGGCCGAUCGGGAGCUCUGUGCUUUCAAACCGUCUUCGGACAACGCUGACAACUUGACCUCAAAUCGAGUAGGACUACCCGCUGAACUUAAGCAUAUCAAUAAGCGGAGGA